UACGUAGGGGGGCAAGCGUUGUCCGGAAUUAUUGGGCGUAAAGCGCGCGCAGGCGGUUAUUUAAGUCUGGUGUUUAAACCUUGGGCUCAACCUGAGGUCGCACUGGAAACUGGGUGACUUGAGUACAGAAGAGGAAAGUGGAAUUCCACGUGUAGCGGUGAAAUGCGUAGAUAUGUGGAGGAACACCAGUGGCGAAGGCGACUUUCUGGGCUGUAACUGACGCUGAGGCGCGAAAGCGUGGGGAGCAAACAGG
rnacentral:rRNA from 1 species